CCGCUUUUAGCUCAGUGGUCGAGCGUUGGCUUUGGAAGCCACAGGUCGGUGGUUCGAACCCGCCAGGGCACA
rfam:Phytophthora infestans T30-4 supercont1.127 genomic scaffold, whole genome shotgun sequence.